UCUAACCUGUUUUGUUCUGUUUUUUUUUUUCUGAGACAGGGUCCCCUCUCUUGUCCAAGGCUGGAGUGUAGUAGCGCUAUCACAGCUGACUGCAGCCUCAACCUUCCAGGCUGAAGUGAUCCUCCCACCUCAGCCUCCCACGUGGCUGAGACUACAGGUGCUUGCCAGUAUGCCCAACUAAUAUUUGGAAUUUUCGUAUACGUGGAUUCCAGAGGGGUGACAGCGAAACGUGGGACCAUCCAGUUGCAGGAAAACAAGCUUAACACGCU
rnacentral:lncRNA from 1 species